GUCUAUGGCCAUGCCGCCCUGAACCUGCCCAAUCUCGUCUGAUCUCGGAAGCUAAGCAGGGUCGGUCCUGAUUAGUACUUGAAUGGGAGACCACCUAGGAAUACCACAUGCUGUAGGCA
rnacentral:rRNA from 1 species